rnacentral:misc_RNA from 1 species
GCUUACGAAUUUUAUCCUCAUCCCUCCCCUUCCAUCACACACAAGUAGCCAUGCCAGGUCCCGUCAUCGAAGAACUCGAAGCCGAGAAGAAGAUUCAGGAGGAUGAGCCCAUCGUGGAGGACGUCAAAGAGGAAGACGACCACGAUGAUGACGCCGACGAUUCUGACGACGACGAAGAUGAUGACAAGGAGGAUGGUGCCCAAGGUGGCAAUUCUAAGCAAAGCAGAAGUGAGAAGAAGAGUCGAAAAGCCAUGUUGAAGCUUGGCAUGAAACCUGUUACAGGGGUUAGCAGGGUCACUAUUAAGAGGACCAAAAAUGUUUUAUUCUUCAUCUCAAAGCCAGAUGUCUUCAAAAGCCCAAAUUCUGAGACUUAUGUCAUAUUUGGAGAAGCUAAGAUUGAGGAUUUGAGCUCUCAGUUGCAGACACAAGCAGCUCAGCAGUUUAGGAUGCCAGACAUGGGAUCUGUCAUGGCUAAGCCAGAUGUGUCUGGCUCUAAUGCUGCUGCGGAGGCAGAUGAGGAAGAAGAGGUCGAUGAGACUGGUGUUGAACCUCGGGACAUUGAUUUGGUCUUGACACAAGCAGGAGUGUCUAGGACCAAGGCAGUCAAGGCUCUGAAGGCCCACAAUGGAGACAUAGUCAGUGCCAUCAUGGAGCUGACCACUUAAGUAUUUUUUUUAGAAAGUUUCACUUUUCAAUUCGUGCUCUAUGAUGAAUUUUGGAAGAAGUUGUGCUUUCAUUCUAUUUUUGUUGCCCUAGUUAAUUGGUGAACCAGCUAUUGAGUAGUAGUUGCAUUGUAGAACCUCAAUGACCAAUAUCAAGAAAU